AUUGAACGCUGGCGGCAGGCCUAACACAUGCAAGUCGAACGAGUGGCGGACGGGUGAGUAAUGUCUGGGAAACUGCCCGAUGGAGGGGGAUAACUACUGGAAACGGUAGCUAAUACCGCAUACCAUCGGAUUUGCCCAGAUGGGGUUAGCUAGUAGGGGGGGUAACGGCUCACCUAGGAGACGAUCCCUAGCUGGUCUGAGAGGAUGACCAGCCACACUGGACCGGAGACACGGUCCAGACGCCUACGGGAGGAAGCAGUGGGGAAUAUUGCACAAUGGGGGCAAGCCUGAGACAGCAAUGCCGCGUGUAUAUAAAAGGCCUUCGGGUUGUAAAGUACUUUCAGCGAGGAGGCGUUACUCGCAGAGGAAGCCCCGGCUAACUCCGUGCCAGCAGCCGCGGUAAUUC
rnacentral:rRNA from 1 species